UUAAGACGUGCGUAGCGAAGCUAACGCGCUAAGUAGACCGCCUGGGGAGUACGGCCGCAAGGUUAAAACUCAAAUGAAUUGACGGGGGCCCGCACAAGCGGUGGAGCAUGUGGUUUAAUUCGAUGCAACGCGAAGAACCUUACCUACACUUGACAUGCUGAGAAGUUACUAGAGAUAGUUUCGUGCCUUCGGGAACUCAGACACAGGUGCUGCAUGGCUGUCGUCAGCUCGUGUUGUGAAAUGUCGAGUUAAGUCUCGUAACGAGCGCAACCCAUGUCUCUUGUUGCUCAUUGAGUGCUUAAGAGAGACUGCCGACCAACAUCGGAGGAAGGUGUGGAUGAUGUCAAGUCAGCAUGCCCCUUACAUCCUGGGCUACACACGUACUACAAUGGUAAGGACAAUGAGCUGCGAUCCUGCGAAGGCUAGCCAAUCUCAAAAACCUUAUCUCAGUUCGGAUUGUACUCUGCAACUCGAGUACAUGAAGGUGGAAUCGCUAGUAAUCGCUGGUCAGCUAUACAGCGGUGAAUACGUUCCCGGGUCUUGUACACACUGCCCGUCACACCAUGGAAGCCGACUCUUCCCUAAGUCGUUACUCGAACCCAUUGGGACGAGGAUGCCGAAGGCAGGGUUGGUGACUGGGGUGAAGUCGUAACAAGGUAGCCGUACUGGAAGGUGUGGCUGGAAUACCUCCUU
rnacentral:rRNA from 13 species